GUGCCAGCCGCCGCGGUAAUACAGAGGGUGCAAGCGUUAAUCGGAAUUACUGGGCGUAAAGCGUGCGUAGACGGUUGCGUAAGUCAGAUGUGAAAGCCCCGGGCUCAACCUGGGAAUUGCAUUUGAGACUGCGUAGCUAGGGUGCGGAAGAGGGAAGCGGAAUUUCCGGUGUAGCGGUGAAAUGCGUAGAUAUCGGAAGGAACACCAGUGGCGAAAGCGGCUUCCUGGUCCAGCACCGACGUUCAGGCACGAAAGCGUGGGGAGCAAACAGGAUUAGAUACCCCCGUAGUCC
rnacentral:rRNA from 1 species